GAUGAACGCUGGCGGCGUGCCUAAUACAUGCAAGUCGAGCGAACGGACGAGGAGCUUGCUCCUCUGACGUUAGCGGCGGACGGGUGAGUAACACGUGGAUAACCUACCUAUAAGACUGGGAUAACUUCGGGAAACCGGAGCUAAUACCGGAUAAUAUAUUGAACCGCAUGGUUCAAUAGUGAAAGACGGUCUUGCUGUCACUUAUAGAUGGAUCCGCGCUGCAUUAGCUAGUUGGUAAGGUAACGGCUUACCAAGGCAACGAUGCAUAGCCGACCUGAGAGGGUGAUCGGCCACACUGGAACUGAGACACGGUCCAGACUCCUACGGGAGGCAGCAGUAGGGAAUCUUCCGCAAUGGGCGAAAGCCUGACGGAGCAACGCCGCGUGAGUGAUGAAGGUCUUCGGAUCGUAAAACUCUGUUAUUAGGGAAGAACAAAUGUGUAAGUAACUAUGCACGUCUUGACGGUACCUAAUCAGAAAGCCACGGCUAACUACGUG
rnacentral:rRNA from 1 species